rnacentral:rRNA from 1 species
GAUGAACGCUAGCGGCAGGCCUAAUACAUGCAAGUCGAACGGGAUCCCGAUCAAAGCUUGCUUUGGUCGGGUGAGAGUGGCGCACGGGUGCGUAAAGCGUGAGCAACCUACCCUUGUCAGGGGACUAGCCCGGCGAAAGUAGGAUUAAUACCGCAUGACAUCAUUGAGAGGCGUCUUUCGAUGAUCAACCAUUUAUCGGAGAAGGAUGGGCUCGCGUGCCAUUAGCUAGGUGGUACGGUAACGGCUUACCAAGGCUGCGAUGUGCCGGGGCUCGGAGAGGAGAAUCCCUCACAGGGGUACCGGGCACCGGACCAGACGCCUACGGCAGGCAGGAGUAAGGAAUAUUGGAUAAUGGACAGUAGUCUGAAGCAGGCAUGCCGGGUGCAGGAAGGCGGCGGUAGGGGUUGUAGACUUCUGUUAUAGGAGAGCAGACGUCGGUACGUGUACGGGUCUGAGGGUACCGUAAGAAUAAGGACCGGCUAACUCCGUG